rnacentral:tRNA from 1 species
GGAAGUGGAAAGGGUACUGGUGGCCCUCCCGGACUUCAAAUCCGGUGUGCCGGGUGAAUAGCCUGACAGGUGGGUUCGAUUCCCAUGCACUUCCGCCA